rnacentral:tRNA from 1 species
GCAGGUAUAGCUUAAGUGUAGAGUGCACGCUUAGUAUGCACGAGGUCCUGGGUUCAAUCCCCAGUACCUCCA